UCUCGUUACCUCCCUGCGUGUACCUGUGCUCUCCUUGUGUGUGUUGUCAGUUUAUCUGUGGUCCCUGUAUAUUUUGACUUAUUCUUUGUUUGGACUUUUUUUUCAUCUGGACUUCCAGCUGCUUUUAGUUCCUCCUGUUGCCCUGCCCUCCUCAGUUCAUUUUUGAUGGCGUGUGAGCUUUCAUUACACACCAUGAGAUCGGUUUCUUCAGAGAAAAUCAUAUUCUUCAAAGACGUGUGAAUAAUUUGCAAAAAGGAAGAAGCUUUACUCUACAAUCACACUCGGCUGACAAGUCUCUUCAGUUCUCUCUGUAUUACAGCUGCACAACCGGGCAAAACUAAUCUCAACCUGUUAAGCAGUGAUUGAGGCAUUCCCACCAUCAUCUGUGAUGAGACAAGGCUCAGUUCUGCUAUCAGUUUCACAUCUGCACCAAGCGUUUGGACAGAUUGCUUUGUCAUGUUUGCUGCUGGGUACAGGUGAUUAUGACUGGCAACAAGCACAUCAGGACCCAAUGGGCCCUGACCCACUGAGACGGUUUGGGCCAAAUUAGGGCCUUUUUUGUAAAUUUACAGUCGGCUCAGGUUGGAUUCAGGCGCAUAUACAUAUGCUGUUACAUUGAAUAUAUUCCAAAGAUUAUACUCACGCAGGUAUUGCAGGCAUUUUUGUUAUUCAUGUGCAAUACACAUGACUGUUGACCAUGUGUCAGGAAAAAGUCACACUGCAGGGAGUUACUUUUUUCUUCCCAACACUUUUGAGUUUCUCUCAAGUGAAUAUUAGCUAGUUGGUGAAGAGUAUUUUGGGACUUCAGUUCAAAUUCACAGAAUUGUAUGGUGGUCAUAUCAUCUUCUAAGGUUAUUCUAAAAUUAUCCUUGAAACUGUUCUCAAAAAUAUAUUCGCUUUUAACUAAAAGGUUUCAUCCAUUUCUCUUUAAUUUUCUUUUAUCUUUGUGUGUUCUUUUACAGAUCUAUUUUUGUAACUGUAAAUGACUUCGUAAUUACAAACUUAAAUCAUUAUGAUUACAAUUAUCAUUGUUGAGCCUAAACUAAUGGAAGUCAGUCUCUCUGUAUCCUACACGUGUGUUCGUGCUGUUUGCACAUCAGUGAUGUGGUGCUUGAUACCGUACCUAUGAUAACAUGCACACCCAGUCUGGCCAUGUGGCGGACUACCUCAUAACCGAUUCCCCUGGCUCCUCCUGUCA